GGCUAUGGAGCAGCAGCUGGUGUACCCAAUGGACAAGGUGGAAACCCACAAGGAGGAAUUCCUGCAGUUUCACCAAAUGGAAAUGGUGGAAAAUCUAAUGGAUAUGGUGUUCAAGCUGGUCCAACCAAUGGACAACAAGUGAAAGGAAACGGCUACGGUGCUCAAGCUGGUGGAUAUGGUGGACAAGGAACUAAAGGCAACGGCUAUGGAGCAGCAGCUGGUGUACCCAAUGGACAAGGUGGAAACCCACAAGGAGGAAUUCCUGCAGUUUCACCAAAUGGAAAUGGUGGAAAAUCUAAUGGAUAUGGUGUUCAAGCUGGUCCAACCAAUGGACAACAAGUGAAAGGAAACGGCUACGGUGCUCAAGCUGGUGGAU